GAUGAACGCUGGCGGCGUGCUUAACACAUGCAAGUCGAACGGGAAAUGUUUCAUUGAGCCUUCGGUGGGUUUGAUUUAUUUCUAGUGGCGGACGGGUGAGUAACGCGUGGGUAACCUGCCUUAUACAGGGGGAUAACAGUCAGAAAUGGCUGCUAAUACCGCAUAAGCGCACUGAGCUGCAUGGCUCAGUGUGAAAAACUCCGGUGGUAUAAGAUGGACCCGCGUUGGAUUAGCUAGUUGGUGCGGUAACGGCCUACCAAGGCGACGACACAUAGCCGGGAUGAGAGAGUGAGCGGCCACACUUGCGCUGAGAAGCAGCCGAGAAUACUAGGGGAUGCAGGAGUGGGUAAUAUUGCACAAUGGCGGAUAUCCAGAUGCAGCGACGCCGGGUGAAGGAAGAAGUAUGUCGGUAUGUAAACUUCUAUCAGCAGGGGAGAUAUUGACGUUACCUGCAUAAGAAGCCCCGGCUAACUACGUG
rnacentral:rRNA from 1 species